rnacentral:rRNA from 1 species
CCCUUAGAUGUUCUGGGCUGCACGCGCGCUACACUGAUGCAAUCAACGAGUCUGCUGUUCCGAGAGGGUCGGCAAAUCUUUUGAAAUUGCAUCGUGACGGGGAUAGAUUAUUGUAAUUAUUAAUCUUCAACGAGGAAUUCCUAGUAGGUGCAUGUCAUCAGCAUGCGCCGAUUACGUCCCUGCCCUUUGUACACACCGCCCGUCGCUCCUACCGAUUGAAUGUUCCGGUGAGUUAUUCGGACCGCGAUCAAGGGCCUGCUCUUGUUUGUGGGAAGUCUUGCGAAUCUUAACAUUUAGAGGAAGGAUAAGUCGCAACA